rnacentral:rRNA from 1 species
AGAGUUUGAUCAUGGCUCAGAACGAACGCUGGCGGCAGGCUUAACACAUGCAAGUCGAACGCACCUUCGGGUGAGUGGCAGACGGGUGAGUAACGCGUGGGAACGUGCCCUUCAGUUCGGAAUAACCCAGGGAAACUUGGGCUAAUACCGGAUACGUGCGAGAGCAGAAAGAUUUAUCGCUGAAGGAUCGGCCCGCGUCUGAUUAGCUAGUUGGUGGGGUAAUGGCCCACCAAGGCGACGAUCAGUAGCUGGUCUGAGAGGAUGAUCAGCCACAUUGGGACUGAGACACGGCCCAAACUCCUACGGGAGGCAGCAGUGGGGAAUAUUGGACAAUGGGCGCAAGCCUGAUCCAGCCAUGCCGCGUGAGUGAUGAAGGCCUUAGGGUUGUAAAGCUCUUUCGUCCGGGACGAUAAUGACGGUACCGGAAGAAGAAGCCCCGGCUAACUUCGUGCCAGCAGCCGCGGUAAUACGAAGGGGGCUAGCGUUGUUCGGAAUCACUGGGCGUAAAGGGCGCGUAGGCGGCCUGAUAAGUCGGGGGUGAAAGCCUGUGGCUCAACCACAGAAUUGCCUUCGAUACUGUCGGGCUUGAGACCGGAAGAGGUAAGUGGAACUGCGAGUGUAGAGGUGAAAUUCGUAGAUAUUCGCAAGAACACCAGUGGCGAAGGCGGCUUACUGGUCCGGUUCUGACGCUGAGGCGCGAAAGCGUGGGGAGCAAACAGGAUUAGAUACCCUAGUAGUCC